rnacentral:tmRNA from 1 species
CGCCUUGACAAUUCCGUCUUUCGGACUUAUAUUAUCGGAUGCCGGCAACGGCUAUGAUGCUAAAUGCCGAUUGGAAUAGAUAUUUCGGACUGGGGUGCGAUUCCCCACGCCUCCACCAAAAAAACAUGGAGUCGUAAAAAAGCGAGCUUUGCCCGACUUUUUUACACCGAAAGCCAAACUGGAAUAGAUGCGAGCCUGCGAGCGUCGUUAUUUUAGUUUGAAUUUAUUUUAAGGGGGCGAAAUAGUUUCGACGGGUAUGAUAAAGAAUCGGGGUGCAUCAGGCGAUGGUUCCGUCCUUAAAACGGGCCGAAACAAAUGAACGCUAAUGAUAACCGUUCAGCGCUCCGUCUCGCCGCCUAAGCGGUGAGCCUGCGCACGAUUCUUCGGGGAUCUUGAACCCCCGAAGUGGGGCUCGGGGCCGCCCAUCAACGGAAGGCCCCAUU